GACGUAGGGGGCCAGCGUUGUUCGGAAUUACUGGGUGUAAAGGGUUCGUAGGCGGUGUGGCAAGUUGGGAGUGAAAUCUCUGGGCUCAACCCAGAGGCUGCUUCCAAAACUGCUGUGCUUGAGUGUGGGAGAGGCGCGUGGAAUUGCAGGUGUAGCGGUGAAAUGCGUAGAUAUCUGCAGGAACACCCGUGGCGAAAGCGGCGCGCUGGCCCACAUCUGACGCUGAGGCGCGAUAGCUAGGGGAGCAUACCGG
rnacentral:rRNA from 1 species